ensembl:snRNA U2 U2 spliceosomal RNA
ACCUCACUGUUGGAGACUCCGAUUCAGUAGAUAAAUCCACUAUCCAAGGACAGUAUAUUAAAUGGAAUUUUGGAGCAGAGGGAUUGAAUAGGAGCUUGCUCCAUCCACCCCUCGUAUUGACCUGGUAUUGCAGUACUUCCAGGAAUGGUGCACUCUGC